UUAAAUUGAAGAGUUUGAUCAUGGCUCAGAUUGAACGCUGGCGGCAGGCCUAACACAUGCAAGUCGAACGGUAACAGGAAGCAGCUUGCUGCUUCGCUGACGAGUGGCGGACGGGUGAGUAAUGUCUGGGAAACUGCCUGAUGGAGGGGGAUAACUACUGGAAACGGUAGCUAAUACCGCAUAACGU
rnacentral:rRNA from 2 species